rnacentral:rRNA from 1 species
CAGCAGCCGCGGUAAUACGAAGGGUGCAAGCGUUAAUCGGAAUUACUGGGCGUAAAGCGCACGCAGGCGGUUUGUUAAGUCAGAUGUGAAAUCCCCAGGCUCAACCUGGGAACUGCAUUUGUGACUGGCAAGCUAGAGUCUGGCAGAGGGGGGUGGAAUUCCGCGUGUAGCAGUGAAAUGCGUAGAUAUGCGGAGGAACACCGAUGGCGAAGGCAGCCCCCUGGGCCAACACUGACGCUCAUGCACGAAAGCGUGGGGAGCAAACAGGAUUAGAUACCCCGGUAGUCCCUGUCUCUUAUAC